rnacentral:rRNA from 1 species
AACNUUUAACAACGGAUCUCUUGGCUCUCGCAUCGAUGAAGAACGCAGCGAAAUGCGAUAAGUAAUGUGAAUUGCAGAAUUCAGUGAAUCAUCGAAUCUUUGAACGCACCUUGCGCUCCUUGGUAUUCCGAGGAGCAUGCCUGUUUGAGUGUCA